UAAAUAUAUUUUAAAUAGAGCUAUUGUUCCAAAUACAUAUUUCACAGAUAACAUAAUAUUUUAAAUCACAAUUUAAUUAGACAUAAAAGUGUGCAAAGGAAAAAAAAACACUACCAGAGACUUCAAGGAAAAAAUUCCUUGAGUUUUCCAGAUUAGGGUGGGAAGAUAUGUAAGAGAAAGAUUUAAGAGAAGCCCCCACUGCCAAUAACUGCCAAUAACAAUAAAAUAAACUCAAAAAACAAAACCAGG